rnacentral:tRNA from 1 species
GGUCUAGUAGUGUAAUGGUAACACAGUACUCAUUGACUAUACUAUUCUAAGUUCGAAUCCUAGCUAGGCCG